rnacentral:rRNA from 1 species
AGAGUUUGAUCAUGGCUCAGGACGAACGCUGGCGGCGUGCUUAACACAUGCAAGUCGAGCGAGACCCUUCCUUCGGGUGGGUGUUCUAGCGGCGAACGGGUGAGUAACACGUGGGCAACCUGCCCUCAGCUCUGGGAUAACUCCAAGAAAUUGGGGCUAAUACCGGAUAUGACUGCUGACCGCAUGGUCUGGUGGUGGAAAGAUUUAUCGGCUGGGGAUGGGCCCGCGGUCUAUCAGCUUGUUGGUGGGGUAGUGGCCUACCAAGGCGACGACGGGUAGCCGGCCUGAGAGGGUGACCGGCCACACUGGGACUGAGACACGGCCCAGACUCCUACGGGAGGCAGCAGUGGGGAAUAUUGCGCAAUGGGCGGAAGCCUGACGCAGCGACGCCGCGUGGGGGAUGACGGCCUUCGGGUUGUAAACCUCUUUCAGCAGGGACGAAGCGGAAGUGACGGUACCUGCAGAAGAAGCACCGGCCAACUACGUGCCAGCAGCCGCGGUAAUACGUAGGGUGCAAGCGUUGUCCGGAAUUAUUGGGCGUAAAGAGCUCGUAGGCGGUUUGUUGCGUCGGCUGUGAAAACCUGAGGCUCAACCUCAGGCCUGCAGUCGAUACGAGCAAACUAGAGUGUUGCAGGGGAGACUGGAAUUCCUGGUGUAGCGGUGAAAUGCGCAGAUAUCAGGAGGAACACCGGUGGCGAAGGCGGGUCUCUGGGCCGUAACUGACGCUGAGGAGCGAAAGCGUGGGGAGCGAACAGGAUUAGAUACCCUAGUAGUCC